rnacentral:rRNA from 1 species
UACGGAGGGUGCAAGCGUUAUCCGGAUUCACUGGGUUUAAAGGGUGCGUAGGAGGGCAGGUAAGUCAGUGGUGAAAUCUCCAAGCUUAACUUGGAAACUGCCGUUGAUACUAUCUGUCUUGAAUACCGUGGAGGUGAGCGGAAUAUGUCAUGUAGCGGUGAAAUGCUUAGAUAUGACAUAGAACACCAAUUGCGAAGGCAGCUCACUACACAAUCAUUGACUCUGAGGCACGAAAGCGUGGGGAUCAAACAGG